rnacentral:lncRNA from 1 species
CCUUAAACGAAGAAACACACCUUAAAUGAUUGUGGAUUUUAUCAAUUUUCUGUUUGUUCUCAAUGGCAGCAACAACUUCAACAAAAUCCAACAACCAUCGCUUCUGCAACUUCUGCCGCAGAAAUGCUAAUCCGAAUGAACAUUGUUCCGAAACAAUGCAGUAAUGUUACUGAAUCAACGCCGUUUCUUAGUGUAUAGCGUCGCUGUUAAAUCAAUACAGCAUAUUCAACUUAAACAAAAUAUUCAACUCUAGUAAAUCGAUCAAACACAACUUCACACACACUAAUUAACAGCAGAUCUUGUUUAACCAAAUUUCACACAAGAUAAAAUUUCAAUGCACAUAAAAUUACAAACAGGACUCAAAGAAGCCUAUAUCAAACUCAACAUUAUCACACAGUCAGAAACAUAUAAAAAUGAUGAAGAGAUUUAAGAGUAAAGGAGUGGACCUCGAUAAGCUUUCUUUAUAUAUGCGGAUCUUCCAACGAAUACAAUUAUGAGAAUUCCGACGAAUGGAAUCGAAGGAAAAUGAGGAAAGAACAGCAAAAAAUUCGAAUAAUAAGCCAAAUCAGAACGACGAACGAACCUCAAACGAAAACGAGGAGCUCAAACGCGAACAGAAAACCUAAAGCAACCACGACCGGAACUCAAAUCAGAAGCUUCGAACGGAUCUCACAAACGAGUUCCAAAAAUGGACUCAACCUCAAACGACAAUUGGAGUUAAUAAUCAACUGAAACUCACUGGUGAAAUAGUUUCUAGAGCAACAAUAGCACUUGAAAACGGAAAUUUCAUAUUCACAGUGUUUUUGGUCUAGGCUGCUUCGGCGAUGGUUGGCGUUCCGGCGAGUUUGCCGCUGGUUCGGUAUCGGGAAAGGAACGUUGCUGGUCACUUAGCCAUGGUCGACGGUGACGCAGCGGCAGAAUGGGAAGGAGACGUGAGGAGGAGGAAGGGCCUUUCUUUUUCCUUUUUUU